rnacentral:misc_RNA from 1 species
CUUACUUCUGCAGAAUGGCAAGGGUCCCUUAUCUUCUGGCUGCUGUGCUUGUCAUUGGUGCCAUGCUGGGUGUCAACAAAGGACACAUGUGUGGCAACAGGAACCUCUUGUUACCUUGGAGGAACGCCGCCAACAGAGCCAGCAAUAACAAUAACAACAAUAACGAUCUCAAUAAUAUCCUCGCUGCUCUCGCGGCUCUUCGCAUCAACAACCUCGUCCAAGCUGCUGCGGCUGCGGCUGCUGCUGCUGCUGCUGCGGGUUAACGCUGGACUCGACUUUCAAGUGACAUUCGAGUCUUGCGAAUGCCAGAGACCAGAAACUUCGUGGACAAAGGUGUGAACAAGAAUAAAGUUUUGAAUUUUUACCCUCACUAUGAAAAAAAA